UACGUAGGUGACCAGCGUUGUCCGGAUUUACUGGGCGUAAAGAGCGCGCAGGCGGCUGGCCAAGUCCGAUGUGAAAGCUCCCGGCUUAACUGGGAAACUGCAUCGGAAACUGGUCGGCUUGAAGGUGGGAGAGGGUAGCGGAAUUCCCGGUGUAGUGGUGAAAUGCGUAGAUAUCGGGAGGAACACCAGUGGCGAAGGCGGCUACCUGGCCCAUUCUUGACGCUGAGGCGCGAAAGCUAGGGGAGCGAACGGG
rnacentral:rRNA from 1 species